rnacentral:ncRNA from 1 species
UCUCGGGGCAGGGUGUGAUUCCCGACCGGCGGUGUAGCCUUAAGGCUUAAGCCCGCGAGCUGUAUCAGCAGCUGACUUCGUGUGAUUCGAAGGCCGACAGUAAAGUCUGGAUGGGAGAGAAUU